GUAUGGAGUUAAAUGCCAUCUGUACAGCAAUUUUCUAUGUGCUUCUUUAUGGGUGUAGCACUUAGUCAAUUUAGAUAUGUCAUUCAGUGCGUGGAUCCAUUCGUCAUCUUUGAGUUGGAUAGCGCAUUCUGUUUCCCACAUUGUUUUGCAAUGCGGUGUAGUGUUGGUUAGGGUAUCAUCCCAGGCCUUAUAGCAUAGGGAAAUAUUUUUCUUUUUCAUAGGGCCUUUCCAGCAUCUUUCUAUUAUCGCUUUUGCUGAAGAGGGGCUUGGGCUAGGGUUUUGUUGUUGUCUGUUUACGUGUGUGGUGAUGAUCCCUUUUAGUUGUAGGUAUGUGAAAAUAGUGUUUGCUGGUAAUUCCCAUUUCUGUUGUAUGUCCGUGAAGGUCAUUACUCCUUGUGAGUGUAAUAAUUGGUGAAUGUGCGUAAUACCUGCGUGUAACCAUGUCUGGAUAUGCAUGUCAGGUGAUAUGGCCCUUAGUGC